AUACUUACCUGGCAAGGGAGACACCGUGAUCAAGAAGGCGGUUCACCCAGGGCGAGGCUCAGCCAUUGCACUCCGGCUGUGCUGACCCUGCGAAUUUCC
rnacentral:snRNA from 8 species